rnacentral:miRNA from 1 species
CUGGAGCUCACUGUGUAGACCAGACUGGUCUGGAACUCACAGUGAUCCUCCUGCCUCAGCCUCCUGAGUACUGGGCU